rnacentral:rRNA from 1 species
CAAACUGGAGAUGGCGACCGGCGCACGGGUGAGUAACACGUAUCCAACCUGCCGAUAACUCGGGGAUGGCCUUUCGAAAGAAAGAUUAAUACCCGAUGGCAUAGUUCUUCCGCAUGGUGGAACUAUUAAAGAAUUUCGGUCAUCGAUGGGGAUGCGUUCCAUUAGGUUGUUGGCGGGGUAACGGCCCACCAAGCCUUCGAUGGAUAGGGGUUCUGAGAGGAAGGUCCCCCACAUUGGAACUGAGACACGGUCCAAACUCCUACGGGAGGCAGCAUG